GUGCUCACUUUGAUGGCACAUGAUACAAAAUUGUAACAAUACAGAGUAGAUUUGGGCCUGGGGUUUAGCUCAAUGGUUCCUCCAUCUGCUUUGCAAGCACAAGGACCUGAGUCUGAUCCCUGGUACAAAAAAAACAGAGUAGAUUAGCAUGGCCCCUGGGCAAGGAUGGCAUGCAAAUUCAUAAAGCAUUCCAUAUUUUU
rnacentral:snRNA from 1 species